ensembl:lncRNA
CUUCUAACCCAAAGCCUGGCACAGACCUAUGAGAUCCGAGCCCACGGUUUUCAAAUGGUGUUCCACGGUACCCAGGGGUUCCUCCAGGGUCCCCGAGGUCCCCUAGCUAGAGAUGCUAGGUGGUUGGAGUUGGGGGAUGCAAUCUCCACCUCCAUCCAGCAGUUCUGCUUUCAGCAGUGAGGUUCUAUCUAAUAUUUCCCUGGGAAGACAUUUCAAUGGAGUUUGGAAACCACCUUGUAGCCCAACCCCCACCUCCCAAAAUAACAGAUGGAGAAACUGAACCCCCCACAAGGACACGGUGUAAUUACAGCAAACACGCAUUGGCGGCGAGCAGCAAUCAUGAGACAACUGUUGAGGAUUUCAGAUGCGCUUGGCGGUGGCUCCUGGAGCGCAGCGCGAGGAACCGCAGCUCCAGUUGGCCCGUGCUGGCCCGAAAACAAGGGAUUUGCAGAAGUCGGGAGCGGUGUGUUGGCACGGUGUCCACGCCAUGUCGUUCAUCAGCUAUUUCCUUGAUAGCGGGUUGCGUCUUACCACCAAGCCAACCGACUGACUCAUGAGUCAGUGACUUAAAAAAUAAAUAAAUACUUGAGGCCAGCUGUGCCCGCCGAGCAAAACCUGUCAGGCUGCAGACAAAGUGGGCCCCUGCCACUUUCCCGGGUGGUUUCAUUUUUCCUCUUUUUGUCUUCUUGUUUGAAAACUAUGAAAGUGAAACCGCACACCUCCCCCUGAAAGCUGCUGUGUUCCCACGGCUGGAGGAGGUGGGUGGGGGCGAGUCUCCCGCUAGCAUCAGCAUUGCCCUUCCGCAGGCCCCAGGGUCCGGCCACGCGGCUGGAACCCAGGCC